ensembl:lncRNA
GGAAUGAGUAGGGAGGAGGGAGGAGAUGGAGAGAGGAGAGAGGAGAGAGGAGGGAGGAGAUAGGAGAGAGGAAGGAGGAGGAAAGGGGAGAUCAUGGAAGUGUCAUUAACACCAGAGACUGUGUGUGUCGGUUCAGUGCCUCUCCUCACUCAAGAUGCAGGUGAAAGGGGAGGAGGAAGGGAGGAGGGACAGAGCAAGACAGGGAGAGAGGGAGAUGCAGGUGGAAGGAGAGGAGGGACAGAGGACAACAGGGAGAGAGGGAGAUGCAGGUGAAAGAGGAGGAGGGACAGAGGAAGACAGGGAGAGAGGGAGAUGAAGGUGAAAGAGGAGGAGGGACAGAGGAAGACAGGGAGAGAGGGAGAUGAAGCUGAAAGAGGAGGAGUGACAGAGGAAGACAGGGAGAGAGGGACAGAGGAAGAGGGAGAGAGGGACAGAGGAAGACAGGGAGAGAGGGACAGAGGAAGACAGGGAGAGAGGGACAGAGGAAGACAGGGAGAGAGGGAGAUGAAGCUGAAAGAGGAGGAGUGACAGAGGAAGACAGGGAGAGUGGGACAGAGGAAGACAGGGAGAGAGGGAGAUGAAGCUGAAAGAGGAGGGGUGUGCCCUGUGGCCAAGGCGAGGCAAGCUGUGCGGCUUGGCGUCUCUUACAACAGCUUUGUUAGUGCUGCAGUAACUGUUACCAGGAGACCUCGUCUGCCUCUCAGAUGGCUCCCUAUCUCCAUAGGGCUCUGGUCCAAAGUAGUGCACCAAAUAGGGAAUACGGUGCCAUAGGGCUCUGGUCCAAAGUAGUGCACCAAAUAGGGAAUAGGGUGUAAUUUGGGACCCUUACACUGUCUCACAGAUGGAUCCAAUGUGUUUCUGUCUGUCUGCCAGUCCAAUGUUUAAAGUCUUGUUGUUGCUGAAAUCGAUCGAAAAUGUCCCUCUGUGAGUAUCAGAAAUUACACGCGUGCAUAUUUAUUACAAAAUGUGUCCCGAAUGGCUGUGAUUUGUUUCGGGAAAUAUAUAUAUAUUUUUCUUGUAUGUUUUUUGACGAAAACCUCGGACUGUCUAUUGCUUCACACCAUGUGGGUUGGCUGAGUUCACAAGGCGUCUCGUUUUCACCAUUCUGCAUGAGAGCUGAGCCAAUCACUGAGGCUUCUCAAAAUGGCACCCUAUUCCCUAUAUAGUGGUACUACUAUAGACCAGAGCCCUAUUCCCUAUAUAGUGGUACUACUAUAGACCAGAGCCCUAUUCCCUAUAUAGUGGUACUACUAUAGACCAG